rnacentral:rRNA from 1 species
AGAGUUUGAUCCUGGCUCAGGAUGAACGCUGGCGGUAUGCUUAACACAUGCAAGUCGAACGGACUCUUCGGAGUUAGUGGCGGACGGGUGAGUAACGCGUGAGAAUCUGGCUUCAGGUUCGGGACAACAGUUGGAAACGGCUGCUAAUACCGGAUGUGCCUUAUGGUGAAAGAUUUAUCACCUGAAGAUGAGCUCGCGUCUGAUUAGCUAGUUGGUGUGGUAAGAGCGCACCAAGGCAACGAUCAGUAGCUGGUCUGAGAGGACGACCAGCCACACUGGGACUGAGACACGGCCCAGACUCCUACGGGAGGCAGCAGUGAGGAAUCUUCCGCAAUGGGCGAAAGCCUGACGGAGCAAUACCGCGUGAGGGAGGAAGGUUCUUGGAUUGUAAACCUCUUUUCUCAGAGAAGAAUAAUGACGGUAUCUGAGGAAUAAGCAUCGGCUAACUCCGUGCCAGCAGCCGCGGUAAUACGGAGGAUGCAAGCGUUAUCCGGAAUGAUUGGGCGUAAAGGGUCUGUAGGUGGUUGUUCAAGUCUGCUGUUAAAGCGUCUGGCUUAACCAGAUAAAGGCGGUGGAAACUGAACGACUAGAGUGCGGUAGGGGUAGAGGGAAUUCCCAGUGUAGCGGUGAAAUGCGUAGAUCUUGGGAAGAACACCUGUGGCGAAAGCGCUCUACUGGACCGCGACUGACACUGAUGGACGAAAGCUAGGGGAGCGAAUGGGAUUAGAUACCCUAGUAGUCC